AUUGAACGCUGGCGGCAGGCCUAACACAUGCAAGUCGAGCGGAUGAAGGGAGCUUGCUCCUGGAUUCAGCGGCGGACGGGUGAGUAAUGCCUAGGAAUCUGCCUGGUAGUGGGGGAUAACGUCCGGAAACGGGCGCUAAUACCGCAUAUGUCCUGAGGGAGAAAGUGGGGGAUCUUCGGACCUCACGCUAUCAGAUGAGCCUAGGUCGGAUUAGCUAGUUGGUGGGGUAGAGGCCUACCAAGGCGACGAUCCGUAACUGGUCUGAGAGGAUGAUCAGUCACACUGGAACUGAGACACGGUCCAGACUCCUACGGGAGGCAGCAGUGGGGAAUAUUGGACAAUGGGCGAAAGCCUGAUCCAGCCAUGCCGCGUGUGUGAAGAAGGUCUUCGGAUUGUAAAGCACUUUAAGUUGGGAGGAAGGGCAGUAAGUUAAUACCUUGCUGUUUUGACGUUACCAACAGAAUAAGCACCGGCUAACUUCGUG
rnacentral:rRNA from 1 species